rnacentral:rRNA from 1 species
GGAUCAUUAUUCAUGGAGGACGCCCCGCCGUCCGCCCCCGACUCGUCGGGACCCCCUGUUUUAUUGAGCACCGCCCGUUUCCUCGGUGGGUACGCCCGCCAGCGAGGACAAACCGAAACCUUUUGCAAUGAGCAGUACGUCGGCAAGAAAACGAAUCUCACAACUUUCAACAAUGGAUCUCUUGGCUCUGGCAUCGAUGAAGAACGCAGCGAAAUGCGAUAAGUAGUGUGAAUUGCAGAAUUCCGUGAAUCAUCGAAUCUUUGAACGCACAUUGCGCCCCUCGGCAUUCCGUGGGGCAUGCCUGUUCGAGCGUCAUCCACACCCUCAAGCCCCGCUUGGUGUUGGGCGCCUGUCCCGCCGCGCGCGCGGACUCGCCUCAAAGCGAUUGGCGGCUGGUACGAAGGCCCGGGGUGCAGCAGAAUUGCGCCGCCGGUCCCGAGGGCCCGCCCCCAGAAGCUACCGACCACUUUGACCUCGAAUCAGGUAGGGAUACCCGCUGAACUUAAGCAUAUCAAUAAGCGGAGGAA